CCAUUCGAGUAAAAUGUUUUCUCGCUGGCUGUUGUCUAGUUGUUUCAUCCUCGUUUCCAUGGCUGUUGGUAGUCGAGGAAAUCACCAAGAUGUUGUCCAAUCUGCGACAUUGGACCACGAAAUCUAUCCUCACCAUUCAAUGAUGCAUUCGCUACUCCACAAAUUGCAAGGAUAUCACCCGGAACAAGAUCUUCCACAAAAUUGGCCUGCUACCCCAAGGAAAUUUGUCUACCCGAUCUACUAUCCGACUGGUUAUUUCUAUCACUUAAAUCAUGGGCCACCAAUUUUGGUUCAUAAAACUGGGCGGAUUGGCAACCGUCGAUUUUUCAUCGCCAAAUAACUUACCGGAAUGGCCCCGCAGUUAACCGUCCAUCCAGUUGAAAUCAUUAUCUAGUAAAUUCGUAUAACUACUUUUAUUCUUUUCAUUGUUUUCCUUCAUGAACAUCCGUUUGUUCAUCCUCCUUACGGUGAUGGUAAUAAUUCAAACGGGCAGCCGUAUGCAUUAUCUACCGCGUAAUGUUUGUUUUACACGCGUGUUGAAUAAAACAAUAACGGCGAAUUCUUGUAUA